GCAUAGCUGUCGCUUCAUGUUUUAUAAUAUUUGAUGAUUUACUUGAACGUUUAAGUCUAAAGCCUCCUCAACUGCAAAACCAGGAUAAUAGUACUUAAAGAGUUGUAAGGAUUAAGUGAGAAAGCAAUCAUGUUAGCGUAAGUCCAUGCAAUGCGUACAUACUUUAAAAAUGGUGACUCUAGCUGUUUAUUGGGAUUUUUCUAAUUCUGGAUAGCAGGAAAUCUUAGGCAAGCCUCUUUAAAAUGUUUUAACAAUAGCCUUACGAGGGGAGAGAGGCAGAAGUGCACUUUUUUAAUGGACCUAACCAAAAGGAGUCACAGAAACUCAGGAAGCUGGAAAGAGCCACCUCUAUAAAUCAACACCCUGAAAUGUGUCCUUUAGAAGAGGAGACAUAAAUGAGCAAGACAUAAAUGAAUCAGAAGUUGUGUUUCUAAAUGAGCUUAAUUCCCAGGUUUUCCCUAUGACCAGUUUUUAAUUGGACCAAAUUGGCAGAUGAUGGACUGGUUCAGUAGUGUUAAAUCAGUCACACCAUAAAUAAAGUCGGCUUUGUUUGAGAGACUACACAAUAGAAACCUGCAAGCAAGAAGACAGAGGGAAAGAUGAGAGGCAAGAUCAAUAUUGAUGCCCUUCACUCUUUCCCAUUUGUUGCUUACUUUGCCACAACCUUUUGCAAAUUCAACCCUUGCCUUUUAACUAAUGACCCAUUCAUUUCUCUGCCCACCUUUCUCCCCAGGUUCUCAAAAUUAAGGAACAAAAUGUCCAUAAUAAAACUGCAAGCACAUUCUUGAAGAAAGAUGUGUGAAUACCUGUGUUAUUGUAGGAGAUAGUUGCCUACUGUGAGUUUUAGCUGUUAGGAAAGUCAGUCAGUGAGUCCACAGAUACUGCUAUCAUUUAACCUAUUGUGAGGAUCAAAAGGUGAAAUUCUAAUCAUUAUUGACUCACGCUUAGGUUUUGUGUCAGGGAGAAUAUAACAAAUGGAAAUGCCAAAGAAGUUAGGAUUUGUUUAUUGAAAUGGUAGUCGGAGUUUCUGGGUUCUAAUGCACAUGCUGCUUCUAGCUGUAUGACCUUGGGCAUAUAUUCAACUUCCUUGACCCUCAGUGGCCUCAACUAUAAUAUGAAGGAGCUGGACUUAAUUACUUAUAAAGCUACAUUGAGCAAUAGAAAAAAAAACUUUAAGAUUAUUAUAUUGAAGAAAAUACCCCAUUUGAGCAUGAAUAUAUAGGCAUUUGUAACCAAUACUCUGAAAAAGAGUCUUCUUCUGAGUCUUGUUGAUAACCAUGACAGCAAUUUGGAUUUGUACCCUCAUAUAAUCUAUAGCGUUACUACUAAAUAUGUGGUUCUCAGACCAGCAGCACCAGCAACACCUAAGAAUUUAUCAGGACAGCAGAAUCUCAGCCCUGCCCCAUACCUGCGGA
rnacentral:lncRNA from 10 species